CACUAACUGGAGGACCGAACCGACUAAUGUUGAAAAAUUAGCGGAUGACUUGUGGCUGGGGGUGAAAGGCCAAUCAAACCGGGAGAUAGCUGGUUCUCCCCGAAAGCUAUUUAGGUAGCGCCUCGUGAAUUCAUCUCCGGGGGUAGAGCACUGUUUCGGCAAGGGGGUCAUCCCGACUUACCAACCCGAUGCAAACUGCGAAUACCGGAGAAUGUUAUCACGGGAGACACACGGCGGGUGCUAACGUCCGUCGUGAAGAGGGAAACAACCCAGACCGCCAGCUAAGGUCCCAAAGUCAUGGUUAAGUGGGAAACGAUGUGGGAAGGCCCAGACAGCCAGGAUGUUGGCUUAGAAGCAGCCAUCAUUUAAAGAAAGCGUAAUAGCUCACUGGUCGAGUCGGCCUGCGCGGAAGAUGUAACGGGGCUAAACCAUGCACCGAAGCUGCGGCAGCGACGCUUAUGCGUUGUUGGGUAGGGGAGCGUUCUGUAAGCCUGUGAAGGUGUGCUGUGAGGUAUGCUGGAGGUAUCAGAAGUGCGAAUGCUGACAUAAGUAACGAUAAAGCGGGUGAAAAGCCCGCUCGCCGGAAGACCAAGGGUUCCUGUCCAACGUUAAUCGGGGCAGGGUGAGUCGACCCCUAAGGCGAGGCCGAAAGGCGUAGUCGAUGGGAAACAGGUUAAUAUUCCUGUACUUGGUGUUACUGCGAAGGGGGGACGGAGAAGGCUAUGUUGGCCGGGCGACGGUUGUCCCGGUUUAAGCGUGUAGGCUGGUUUUCCAGGCAAAUCCGGAAAAUCAAGGCCGAGGCGUGAUGACGAGGCACUACGGUGCUGAAGCAACAAAUGCCCUGCUUCCAGGAAAAGCCUCUAAGCAUCAGGUAACAUCAAAUCGUACCCCAAACCGACACAGGUGGUCAGGUAGAGAAUACCAAGGCGCUUGAGAGAACUCGGGUGAAGGAACUAGGCAAAAUGGUGCCGUAACUUCGGGAGAAGGCACGCUGAUACGUAGGUGAAGCGACUUGCUCGUGGAGCUGAAAUCAGUCGAAGAUACCAGCUGGCUGCAACUGUUUAUUAAAAACACAGCACUGUGCAAACACGAAAGUGGACGUAUACGGUGUGACGCCUGCCCGGUGCCGGAAGGUUAAUUGAUGGGGUUAGCGCAAGCGAAGCUCUUGAUCGAAGCCCCGGUAAACGGCGGCCGUAACUAUAACGGUCCUAAGGUAGCGAAAUUCCUUGUCGGGUAAGUUCCGACCUGCACGAAUGGCGUAAUGAUGGCCAGGCUGUCUCCACCCGAGACUCAGUGAAAUUGAACUCGCUGUGAAGAUGCAGUGUACCCGCGGCAAGACGGAAAGACCCCGUGAACCUUUACUAUAGCUUGACACUGAACAUUGAGCCUUGAUGUGUAGGAUAGGUGGGAGGCUUUGAAGUGUGGACGCCAGUCUGCAUGGAGCCGACCUUGAAAUACCACCCUUUAAUGUUUGAUGUUCUAACGUGGACCCGUGAUCCGGGUUGCGGACAGUGUCUGGUGGGUAGUUUGACUGGGGCGGUCUCCUCCUAAAGAGUAACGGAGGAGCACGAAGGUUGGCUAAUCCUGGUCGGACAUCAGGAGGUUAGUGCAAUGGCAUAAGCCAGCUUGACUGCGAGCGUGACGGCGCGAGCAGGUGCGAAAGCAGGUCAUAGUGAUCCGGUGGUUCUGAAUGGAAGGGCCAUCGCUCAACGGAUAAAAGGUACUCCGGGGAUAACAGGCUGAUACCGCCCAAGAGUUCAUAUCGACGGCGGUGUUUGGCACCUCGAUGUCGGCUCAUCACAUCCUGGGGCUGAAGUAGGUCCCAAGGGUAUGGCUGUUCGCCAUUUAAAGUGGUACGCGAGCUGGGUUUAGAACGUCGUGAGACAGUUCGGUCCCUAUCUGCCGUGGGCGCUGGAGAACUGAGGGGGGCUGCUCCUAGUACGAGAGGACCGGAGUGGACGCAUCACUGGUGUUCGGGUUGUCAUGCCAAUGGCACUGCCCGGUAGCUAAAUGCGGAAGAGAUAAGUGCUGAAAGCAUCUAAGCACGAAACUUGCCCCGAGAUGAGUUCUCCCUGACCCUUUAAGGGUCCUGAAGGAACGUUGAAGACGACGACGUUGAUAGGCCGGGUGUGUAAGCGCAGCGAUGCGU
rnacentral:rRNA from 1 species